AUGACUUGCAACCCUAACUGGGAAGAGAUAACGAAUGAGUUGCUUCCUAGUCAGACAGCGCAAGACCGACCUGAUCUUGUGGCUCGUGUGUUCCAUGGCAAGCUAGAGGCUAUGAAAGAGAUGUUGUUCAAGAAGAAUAUCCUGGGCGUUGUUGUCGCACAUGUAUACAUAGUCGAGUUCCAGAAGAGGGGCCUC
rnacentral:rRNA from 1 species